GUUUAUAUAGUUUAUUUAAAACACUCCAUUUUCAAUGGAAAGACAGAUAAUUUAUCUUAUAAAUA
rnacentral:tRNA from 1 species